UCAAAGGAAGAAGCGCGGGAUGGAGACGUGAGACUCCCAACAAAGUUAGUUUUUCUUCCUUAAAUUCGCAGAUCUGACGCCGCCCAAGAGGCUGUUUUGCCCGAGAUAAUGUCGCUGAUGAAGCCGUUUAGUAAACUCCCUGGACUGAAUACGGCCAACAUUUUGUUGGUGGAGAGCGAGGAAAACUUCCAGCAGCGUUUAGCUGAGGCUCUGGUGAAGAAGACCAGCAUCACGGUGAAUGUGAGGCUGGCGAAGAGCUUCCCUCUGCCGAUGGAGAACAAUGAGACUCGUCCAAGGAUCGACCUGGUCGCCUUCAUCAUCAAUCUGACCUCCGAGCUCAGUCUCCAUUCGGCAGAAGAGGCCCGGAAAUAUUUGGACCCAGGAUAUUUCCUUGGAAAAGUCUGCUUCAUGGUCACUAAUGCUCGUAAUUCCUUGGUCCCCACUGAGCGCCUGGAUGCGGUCCGGAAGCUGGCGGCGUCGCUCCACUGCCCCCUGCUGUUCGCGGAGGAUCAGACACCGGAAGGCGUAAACAGCGCUGCCGGGAGGCUGCUGACCAUCCUGAAGGCGGCGUCCGGCCUCGUCCCCGUCACCACCGCCCUGUACCUGUCAAACCUGACCCGAUGCACUCUGCCGCCAGACUUCGAGCAGCCGAGCUUCGAUUAGCUCCGGCCAGGUAUGACGUCCCCUAGAAUACGUCUCUGCCAUCGAUGCCAUUAUUAAAGCAACCGCUGCACUCUGACAUCUACUUGAACAUUUAUCUGAGACAAAUGGCAGCAUUCACUCUCAACCCGACCGCUUUAUUACAGACAGCUUCGCAAGACAGGAGGUGAAGGAUGGUCGGGCCCGGGAGACGAGAGGAGGCGGGGGAGUUUUCUCUGGACUUCAUGUGGGGUCGAUGUUUGCAGAGGAGUUUAACGAUUCCUGUAAUUCCUGCUUUGAUGUCAUCCACCUUCAGCAGCCUUCUGCAUCCCUGCUAACGUUACGUCUGGAUGUCGAUAUUAAUAAUUGCACUGUUUUAGCUUUGUAAUAAUUUAUACGUGCAUAUAACGUUUUUUUGUGGUUUGUAGAUACUUUAGGGUAUAUUUUGUCUCAAUCUAAUAGAAUAAAUGACCAUUGGUCAAUAAAAUCAUCUAUGAAAUGUAUCUUAGUUAUACUGAAACCUUAAAAUGAAACGGUAUAUUUUGUGUUAAGUCAAUAUUUCCAUAUUUUUGCGUAAAUGUAGAUCGGAGGGAUCAAUCGUGUCGCCUGACAGAGCAGGACACCGGAGCCCCCGUUGCUGUGCCCAUUAAUGGGUCACAAGCUUGUGCUCUCAUAGUGUUGGUACCGUGCCCGGAUAAACCAGAGGGUUGUGUCAGGAAGGGCGUCCAACAUUUAAAGAAAUAUAUAUUAAUUUGGAAAAGUGAUGAUUCAAAGAUGUGUUUUUAUUCAGUUAAUUGUGUUAAAUUGAACUUUUUGUUUCUUUUGUUUGACUUUUUAUUUAUUUAUUUCUACACAUGUUUAUGAACUGAACUAUAUGUGUUUGACAUACAGAAGAAUAGAAAUGCUGUUUCUCUCUCACCUGGUCUUCAAUGCCAUUCAUUUAGAAAAAAAAAAAAAGAAUUAACCACAAAAAUUAAAAAGUAUACCGGUAAGCAAAUAGAAACUCGAGGAAAAAUAACUCAAAAACUUUUUUUUUUAAUUAUGUCUGUUGUGAUAGAAGUCUACAAACUGCAAUGGCAAAAUGACGUAAAAUAAAUUGUAAUUGCACCUUUUUUUUUAUAUGUAUGUAUUUUUUUUUUCACACUUUGGGAUAGUAUGUCAAAAUGCAAGCUAAAACUGUAUUUUUGAAUAUUUUUUGUAUUUUCUUCUGUGAUGUAUUCGGGGAAAGGGAACGGAAAUAAAAUUGGAUAAUUGAA